GCCCUCGUGGAUCAACGGUUAGAUCGUCCUCACCCUGUUGUUCUUCGUUUAGGUAUUUCGUGGAGGAAGGCGCGGGUUGGACUCCCGCCCAGGGCA